UCCAGAAACAUCAAGAUGGUUUCUGGCAGUUAUCUCCUGGCCGUCAUCUUCAUUUCUAUUCAGGGAUCCUGUGGACAGAUUGUGAUGACCCAGACUCCAGAUUAUACCUCUGUGUCCCCAGGAGAUACAGUCACCAUGUCAUGUAAAGCCAGUUCUGGUAUAAGCAACUGGUUAGCCUGGUACCAACAGAAAUCAGGAGAACGGCCAAAUCUUCUUAUCUAUGGUGCAAGCAACAGAUACACAGGAGUCCCAGACCGGUUCUCUGGAUCUGGAUCUGGAACAGAUUUCACUCUGACAAUCAGAGGAGUGACAGAAGACGAUGCAGGACAUUAUUACUGUCAGAGGGGUUUGCGCUUACCUCUCACUUUUGGCAAAAAAAGUACUGUAGAGAUCAAACGAAGAGAAAACGCUGCUCCUACUUCGUUGAUGUUCUGUCCUUCUAAUGAGGAAAUGAAGACAGGAACGGUGACAAUUGUCUGUCUGAUCAAUGGUUUCUAUCCAGAAGAUGCCUCGGUGACAUGGAAGGAGGACGAUACGGCUAUCACUGCUGGAGUUCAUCAGAGUGAAAAGAUCACUGACAAGGACAAGACGUACAGUAUGAGCAGUAUGCUCAGUCUCACCAGUGAACAGUUCAAGGGCCAUGAUAGCUACAAGUGUGAGGUGCAGCACAGCGCCCUGACCUCAGUAUUGGUCACGAGCCUCAAGACGGCAGAGUGUUUGAACAGGGGUUAGCCAGUCCACCCUAAACCUAGGAGACUCUUCCCCCUGUUUUUCUAUUUAAUGCAUUCUGUGCUGUAUUUCGAUUUACAACAUAAUGCACAUUAUACUUUAUGUGCCUUGUCAUCAAAUUUUGCGAAACACAACUUUUUUUUUGUUUUAUUGUAAAUCUUCUAUCUUUUCUUGAUAUGUUAGAAAAAUAAAUAAAAAAUUAUUUGCUUCA